UAGGGAGUGGUAGAGCCACGCAGAAUCCAUUGCAGAGAGUGGAGCAGGGUAGUGGCCAUUGUCGUGACUUGCUAGAGAGUUCAGAUCUGUCGGCUGGAGCUCGACUGGGAUAUCUGAUGGAGCAGAAUGGCUCUCUAUCCCAUCGAUCUAGGAGAAGCUCUGAUGUUUCCAAAACUGCUAACGAGUCUACUGUUGUCAGAUACCUUAGGCGCCGAUACUACAGGUGGGAGUCAUCUGCUAUAGAAGCUCG
rnacentral:lncRNA from 1 species